UAAGUCUAGCAAGAUAACAGGGCAUAGUAAAAAAUAUAAUACAGAUGCCACAUGCCUGGAGUUUUUUCAAUUUGGGCACAUGGUGCCCUCAAAGGAUCUCCUCCCAUGUUACACAGAAAAACAUAAUUGGCUGAGCACAGUGAUUCAAACCUACAAUCUCAGCACUUUGGGAGGCUGAGGUGUACAGAUUGCUUGAGCUCAGGAGUUCGAUACCAGCCUGGAAACAUGGUAAAACCCUAUAUCUACUAAUACGAGAAAAUAGCCAGGCAUGGUGGUGCAUGCCUGUGGACCCAGCUACAUGGAGGCUAAGGUGGGAAGAUCACUUGAGCCUAGGGGGUGGAGGAUGCAGUGAGCUACGAUCGCAGCACUGCACACCAGCAUGGGUGAUGGAGUGAGACCGUCUCUCCAAAAAAAGGAAAAAAUAAUAACAUUCCCUAUAUAUCUAACCUAUACAUCUACAGUGUUUUUCUCAUCUCAGUGUUCUAGGAUUCAAUGACAGAAGGCACAGUGCUUUUUUGCAAACAUUACAUUCAAAAGGCAUUUCCGUAGUGACAGCUCUCCUGUGAGUUUUGAAGCCAGACUUCUGGAUAAAUAGCCUAUAUUUGCCACACUAGUAAGGCCUUCAUUCAGUGUUAAGUAUAAUCCUGAAGGAAUACAGAGGUGUGGCUACAAAACUGCCAAAUUUAUUUUACUUGUAAGGACUUUUCUCUAGUGUGAACUCUCCAAUGUCCAAGGAGAGCGGACUUCUUUCGGGUAAACAUUUUCCACAUUUGCUGCAAUCACAGGAUCUUACUCAGGUGUGUGCUCUCCUGUAUUUAAUGAGACUGGACUCAUUCUCUGCACUCAUAAGGCCUUUCUUUCAUGAACUCUCUGACGGUAACGAAGUGAAGAGCUUUUCCUAAAUUUUUUUUCACAUUCACUACACCCAUAAGGCUUUUCUCCAGUGUGAACUCUCCUAUGAUUAGUGAGACUGGAGAUUCCAGCAAAAGAUUUCCCACAUUCACUGCACUCAUAAGGCUUCUGACCAGUGUGAACUCUCUUAUGAACAAUGAAUGCACAGCUGUGGGUAAAUGACUUCCCACAAUCACUGCAUUCAUAUGGCCUUUCUCCAGUGUGAACUCUCUGGUGUGCAGUGAGGUGGCACUUGUGCCUAAAAAAUUUCUGACAAGCCUCACAUGCAUAUGGCUUUUCUCCACUGUGAAUUCUCUGGUGUACAAGGAGGUGAGACUUCUUCUUAAAUAAUUUUCCACAUUCCCAACACAUAUAAGGCCUUUUUCUAGUAUGGCCAUGCUGGUGUAGAAUUAGGUUACCCUUGUGACUAAAACAUUUCCCACAUUCCCCACACUUAUAAGGUCUUUCUGUAGUGUGAACUCGCUGAUGACUCCUAAGGUGUCCUUUUUCAUUAAAAGAUUUCCCACAGUCUCCACACUUGUAAGGUCUUUCUCCAGUGUGCAUGCGCUGAUGGAUCCUAAGGUGCCCCUUUGAAAUAUAAGAUUUCCCACAUUCUCCACACUUGUAAGGUCUUACUUCAGUGUGAAUGCGCUGAUGGUAACUAAGGCUGGGCUUCCGACUAAAAGAUUUCUCACAUUCUCCACACUUGUAAGGUCUCUCUCCAGUGUGAAUGCGCUGAUGACUCUUAAGGUUCACGUUUGAACUAAAAGAUUUCCCACAUUCCCCACACUCAUAAGGCCCUUUUCCAGCGUGAACUUUUUGAUGGCGCCUAAGAUGUCCUUCUAAGCUAAAAUAUUUCCCACAUUCUUCACACCCAUAAGGUUUUCCUCCAGUGUGAAAUUGCUGAUGUUGAAUGAGGCUGCUCUUUUGACUA
rnacentral:lncRNA from 1 species